AUAGAAAAACCUUGUGACCUGUCUAGAGGCCAUAUUUUUCAUGAGACCUUCAUGAAUGUUGGUCAGAAUGUUCACCUUGAUGAUAUCUAGGUCAAAUUCGAAACUGGGUCACGUGCUGUCAAAAACUAGGUCAGUAGGUCUAAAAAUAGAAAAACCUUGUGACCUCUAGAGGCCAUAUUUUUCAUGAGAUCUUCAUGAAUAUUGGUCAGAAUGUUCACCUUGAUGAUAUCUAGGUCAAGUUUGAAACUGGGUGACGUGGGGUCAAAAACUAGGUCAGUAGGUCUAAAAAUAGAAAAACCUUGUGACCUCUCUAGAGGCCAUAUUUCUCAAUGGAUCUUCAUGAAAAUUGGUGAGAAUGUUCAGCUUGAUGAUAUCUAGGUCAAAUUCAUAACUGGGUCAUGUGCGGUCAAAAACUAGGUCAGUAGGUCGAAAAAUAGAAAAACCUUGUGACCUCUCUAGAGGCCAUAUUUUUCAUGAGAUCUUCAUGAAUAUUGGUCAGAAUGUUCACCUUGAUGAUAUCUAGGUCAAGUUCGAAACUGGGUCACGUGCGGUCAAAAACUAGGUCAGUAGAUCUAAAAAUAGAAAAACCUUGUGAUCUCUCUAGAGGCCAUAUUUUUCAUGAGAUCUUCAUGAAUGUUGGUCAGAAUGUUCACCUUGAUGAUAUCUAGGUCAAGUUCGAAACUGGGUCACGUGCGGUCAAAAACUAGGUCAGUAGGUCUAAAAAUAGAAAAAACCUUGUGACCUCUCUAGAGGCCAUAUUUUUCAUGAGAUCUUCAUGAAUAUUGGUCAGAAUGUUCACCUUGAUGAUAUCUAGGUCAAGUUCGAAACUGGGUCACGUGGGGUCAAAAACUAGGUCAUUAGAUCUAAAAAUAGAAAAACCUUGUGACCUCUCUAGAGGCCAUAUUUCUCAAUGGAUCUUCAUGAAAAUUGGUGAGAAUGUUCAGCUUGAUGAUAUCUAGGUCAAGUUCGUAACUGGGUCAUGUGAGGUCAAAAACUAGGUCAGUAGGUCGAAAAAUAGUAAAACCUUGUGACCUCUCUAGAGGCCAUAUUUUUCACGAGAUCUUCAUGAAAAUUGGUGAGAAUGUUCACCUUGAUGAUAUCUAGGUCAAGUUUAAAAGUGGGUCACAUGCCUUCAAGAACGAGGUCAUUAGGUCAAAUAAUAGAAAAACCUUGUGACCUCUCUGGAGGCCAUAUUUUUGAAUGGAUCUUCAUGAAAAUUGGUCAGAAUUUUUUAUCUUGAUGAUAUCUAGGUCACAUGUGCUCAAAAACUAGGUCACUAUGUCAAAUAAUAGAAAUAACGACGUCAUACUCAGUUCAACACUGGGUCAUGUGGGGAUAGGUGAGCGAUUCAGGACCAUCAUGGUCCUCUUGUUAUAAAAUUUUGUAAUUACUCCCCUUUAAUAUGAAAGUAUAUAAAAAGCUGGGUAUUUCUUUUUAUUUCGAUACAAUGUCUAGUUUUACAUUUGCAUUUGAUAGACAUAUCAACUAUUGAACAAUCUGAACCAAAAUGGAAGUUU